CGUCACUAGUAUUUUUCAUUGGCAAACGGGGUCUAAUCUUGAUCAGAAGCGCACUCUCCCGAAGUAACUUCUGAUGAUUUCCAUAAAAGCGACUAACAAAGCAAGUCAUAUUUCCUAUUUGAAAUCACAAAGUUGCAUUUAUUCUGUGUCUUACGGUAAACACGGAACACUGCGCGUGGGCGCGAUGACGUCUCAGUUAAGGGCGCCGAGUUGGAAAGAGGAAAACGGUACACAGAAAGGCAGCUAAUCUUAACAAGUCGGAUUAAUAGAUGCUUUAGCGUAUGUGGUGAAUCGCAAAAGAAAUAUUUGUUGACGAUGUCGACUGACUUGGAGAAGGCGAUGGAAGAGUACGAGGCCGCGUGUGCCACCCUGUCCGAGGAGCUUGCGGGGCUAUCGGAGAGACUGGACGAACUGGUGCGGUACCAGGGCAGCCUUCUGACCACCAACUCUCUGCUGGUGAGCAGCCUGACCUCUGUCCUUGUUCUUCAAGGUGAUGUAUGUUUUCAGUGCUCGGUCCAUGUUAAUUUCUUGUCAGUAUCCUUCUGAAAUGGUGCUGUGUGAUUUGUUGUAGAUUUCUUGGAUGCAAAAUGUGGAAGAGCUGUGGAAGCACAGGAGACAGGCUCACCUCACCUUUGAUGCCUGAAUCAUGCAGGUCCAGAAUGAAGAUGAAGGGCAGGUGCUGAUGCUAUGACUUUUGCAUCUUUAAAACCCAAUGCCUACACUAACUGGGGCUGAACGCCCAGACUGCAGCCGAUCGCUGUGUGCUUGAGUUACAGCACAGCCCUUGUCUGUACACAAUAUUAUUAAUAAUACUAUAAUAAUACUGAUCACAUAGACUGUCACUCUGUUGGCCUCUGUCGCGUGUCAUACAGUCACUGGCCACCAGAUGGCGCAAAACGGUCAAUUCUGCCCCUGUAUUUUUGCAUAUCUGGUUUUAUAGCCAGAUGAACGCUGGACAGUUGUGUGUGUGUGUAUAUAAUAUAUCGUGGUUAACAAGCAUAUCGGCACAAGAUAUGCUUUGUGGGAUGUUUUGUAUUCCCCCUCCCUUUAAAUAAAAGUCAUUUUGGGCAUGAGUGUAUAGGAAAC
rnacentral:lncRNA from 1 species